rnacentral:pre_miRNA from 1 species
GGGUCAGGGCUGUGGUGAGGCAAGAGAGGCGCCCAGGACGCCACGUUUCAGGAGGCACUGCUGGCCCCAAGAGCAGCGCCGCUUGAAGUGUGGUGCCCUUGCACCUCCCACUUCACCCUCCCCUGGCUCUAGAGGUGGC